rnacentral:rRNA from 1 species
AACGAACGCUGGCGGCAUGCCUAACACAUGCAAGUCGAACGAGACCUUCGGGUCUAGUGGCGCACGGGUGCGUAACGCGUGGGAACCUGCCCUUAGGUUCGGAAUAACUCCCCGAAAGGGGUGCUAAUACCGGAUAAUGUCUUCGGACCAAAGAUUUAUCGCCUUUGGAUGGGCCCGCGUUGGAUUAGCUAGUUGGUAGGGUAAAAGCCUACCAAGGCGACGAUCCAUAGCUGGUCUGAGAGGAUGAUCAGCCACACUGGGACUGAGACACGGCCCAGACUCCUACGGGAGGCAGCAGUAGGGAAUAUUGGACAAUGGGCGAAAGCCUGAUCCAGCAAUGCCGCGUGAGUGAUGAAGGCGUUAGGGUUGUAAAGCUCUUUUGCCCGGGAUGAUAAUGACAGUACCGGGAGAAUAAGCUCCGGCUAACUCCGUG